UUCUGAGAGAACAAUGUAGAUACUUAGGGUCUGACUGGUUCAAACGCAGCGGUUGCGGUUGUGAGAGUUUGUGGAUACGGGGGGUUGCGGUUUCUAGCGGUUUUAAGAGAUUUGUACGACUCGUACUGCGGUUAAAAAUUGGUGCGUUUGCG